AAUAUUGGACAAUGCGCGAAAGCCUGAUCUAGCCAUGCCGCGUGGGUGAAGAAGGUCUUCGUAUUGUAAUGCACUUCGAGUUGGGCGGAAUGGCUGUAGGUUAAUACCUUGCUGUUUAUACGUUACUGACAGAAUUAUCACGGGCUAUCUUCGCUCCAGCAGCUGCGGUAAUACGAAGGGUGCACGCGUUAAUCGGAAUUAGUGGGAGGAAAAGGCGAGUAGGUAGUUUGUUAAGUUGGAAGUGAAAGCCCCGGGCUCAACCUGGGAACUGCUUUCAAAACUGGCAAACUGGAGUAUGGCAGAGGGUGGUGGAAUUUCCUGUGUAGCGGUGAAAUGAGUAGAUAUAGGAAGGAACACCAGUGGAGAAGGCGACCACCUGGGCUAAUACUGACACUGGGGUGCGAAAGCGUGGGGAGCAAA
rnacentral:rRNA from 1 species